CAAAAAGUAAAGAAAAAGGCCCCGGUCAUUGGCGCCAUCGAAUAAUCUAAAACGUCCAUUUUCCAAAAUCAACGGUUCUCAUCACUCGGCAAAUUCGUUUUCCAUUUUCCAAUUACUUUUUCCCCUUCUCUCUCUGUCUCUCUCUCUCUCUCUCUAGUCUUUAGCUCUACCUCUUCAGUGGUUUUUAAUCACAUCAUCAUAAACCCUAGCCUCCAUCUUUCUCUCUCUUUCUUUCUCUUCCGAAGCCGGGAUUCACGUGAAACUCAGUCUCUCUAUUCUCUACCCUGAGCUCCUCUCUCUCUCUCUCUCUCUCUCUUCAUUUCUAGUUGUAGAGAGACGACCNCUCUCUCUCUCUCUCUCUCUCUUCAUUUCUAGUUGUAGAGAGAGACCCAUCUUCUUUUCCUCUUUCUCUUGGUAAAGAACAGAGGCCGUGGGUUUUUUUUUUCCCUUGUUGUAUUAAUUUUUGGAGUUGAUCGAUCUUUUUCUGUACGACGUUGU
rnacentral:lncRNA from 1 species